UACGUAGGGUGCAAGCGUUGUCCGGAAUUAUUGGGCGUAAAGAGCUCGUAGGCGGUUUGUCGCGUCUGCUGUGAAAACCCGAGGCUCAACCUCGGGCCUGCAGUGGGUACGGGCAGACUAGAGUGCGGUAGGGGAGAUUGGAAUUCCUGGUGUCAGCGGUGGAAUGCGCAGAUAUCAGGAGGAACACCAAUGGCGAAGGCAGAUCUCUGGGCCGUAACUGACGCUGAGGAGCGAAAGCAUGGGGAGCGAACAGG
rnacentral:rRNA from 1 species